rnacentral:piRNA from 1 species
UGUGAGGUUCUUAUACAUGUAGCUAAGCGUC